UGAACGGCUCCCCAGGGAAUGCUCAUAUCCCCAGGCUGCCAGAGCUCCAGCAGCAUUUGUUCAACAGUCUCAGGCACAAGGUGGGAUUGUUGGGGUGUCUGUGCAGGGCCAGGAGUUGGACUCGAUGAUCCCUGUAGGUCCCUUCCAACUCGGGAUAUUCCAUAAUUCUACAAUACUUGAACCUGUGGAAAGGCACAUUCUGGAGCCCAUGUUUGGCAGGGAUGCAGGAACAAACAUUUACCUUGGUGGUGGUAUUUUAUUCCCUGGCUUCUGAUUGGCACAGGCUGGUUGUGCAUUUUGGUGACAGGCCCAAGGAGUGGGUCCCUGGUGACCCUUUGCAGUUUGCAGGAGCCACUGCUGGGCUGUGUGCAGGGUGACUGAGCCCUUCAGGUGCCUUGCUCUCCUCAGCCCACGGCCCUGGGCAGUGUCCCUCCCUAGCAGACUGAGCACACAGUCCCCCAUGCCAGCUCACAGCCCUGGGCAGCUGGAAAGACCAGGAUUGACCUGAUGCCUGCACAAAGGUCUUCAGCUGCUUUUUGUGCUCCCAUUUCCCUCUUCAGCUGCCUCUCACCAUGGCUGCCUGCUUGGCUCUGGCUGUGCUGUUCUCUCAGAGAGGGUCCCUGUGUCAGCCAGCAACCAACUCAUCUGCCUCAAACUCUCUUUGGAAGGAUGGGCCACAAAGACUCUGAACACUCACUGUUUACCCGCUUCAGGCAUACAGACCUUUCCUGUGGGGACAUCCUGGCAGGAAAGGACUCUCCUGUACUGAUGGAGUUUGUUGUGCAGCACCACGGUUUCCACAGGAGGACAACUCUGCCACAGCCAUAACUGAGAUAAGUUGAGAGAGCUGAGGCUGUUCAGUCUGGAAAAGAGAAAGUUUCAGUAUCUGAAGGGGGCUACGAGGAAGCUCAGGAACUGAACUUUUCAUCAGGAACUGGAUAGAUGUGGAGGCUUGGCUGCAGAAGAAAGGACAUGGACUUUUGCAGGGGGUGCAUAACCCAGGCCUGAAGCUAGCAGAUAGUCCUUGAAUUGCCCUUGGACACGAGAUAAGAGGAAGUUGGCUGGUUACACCAUGAUAGCAGGAUGUGCCAGCAGGAUAUCUGUAAACCGCAAGGCAGAAAUAUUGCAGAAGUAAGCAGGAGUGUGAACAGCUGGCUUGUAGCAAUCAUAACACUAGUUAGGGUGCGUGAACAGCCACUUGUAACCAAUAAUAUGUAAGCCUAAGCCGCGUGAACAGUCGACAAUGGUAUAUAAGAGCAUGCCAAUUAGCAAUAAAGGGAACAAGAUGUAUACCUCA